GCGAAAAGUGGGUGCAGCAAUGCACCUCUGCCUACCCCGCAAGGGAGUACAUUAGUACAGUCAGGUGCAGAUAAACCUGACCCCCUGCAUUUCAAAUAGAAAUUCUAACUACGCAAAGCCAAUUUGUCGGUGUGACGUAUGUUGCGGUAGUGCUCGUGUCUAUAGACAGAUAUAGAACUAUUUUACUAUUCUCCUAUUUAUAUCCAUCAUUUAGAUAAUAUCCAUCAUUUACACAAACUAACGAAUUCAUAGAACAAUAAUAUUAUGAAAUACAAAAUUUAAAUUCUAUUUGUUUUUCAUCUGGAAUCGAACCCGCGUCGCAAUUAUCCGCAAACCAACCAUUUGCCCGCUACGCCACGAAGCUUGUUAAACUCGUUUGCAAAAUAGUGAAUAUGCUGCGGUUCAUUAGAAAAAGUAUAAUCUAUGUAGUGAUAAUUGUUUACAAUAUGAAAUAUUAUAAGCGCAGAGGGUAUUUUGAAUUUAUUUCUCAAUUGAAAUUGUAGACUUGAAGAGAAUGUUUUGUUGCAUUGAGAUGGGUUUUGUUAAUUCCAUCUGAUUUAUAUUUACGUAUAAUACACAUUAUUAAUUUGUUAUCAACAUUAUUAAUUCGUAACGAUGACAAACGAAUUUAUUAACAAGGUCAUUGUUAAUUGAGUUAAGUGCCAGGACAACAUUGGGUUACCGAAGAUGGAUGUCCUAUAAUGGGCCCUGAAGAACUGUUAUAAAAUAGCUAAACGCAUGACAAGAAUCAAUUUGAGAAUUUUAAAGAUGAUGUUAUAGUUGCUGUUUGCAUUGCGUGAGAAAUAUCUUCUACACGAUAACAGCACAACUCGCAUUGAAGAAAUGGAACAUUAUAACUAUGUUAUUAUACGUUUAGUAGGUAUUUAACGGGUCCCCAGUUUAAGUAUGAGUAAAAUUUAUUUAGUAACUAGUAAGAUAAUUGUUCAUAC